ensembl:snRNA U6 U6 spliceosomal RNA
GUGCUUGCUUUGGCAUCACAUGUACUAAAAUUGGAACAAUACAGAGAAGAUGAGCAUGGCCCCUGUGCAAGGAUGACACACAAAUCUGUGAAGUGGUCCAUAUAUAU